rnacentral:snoRNA from 1 species
UCAUGAUGAUCCCCUUUAGAUGACGAGUCUUAUCCAGCUGUGCUGAUGCAGAGACACAUCAAUUACCAUUCAUGCAUAAACUGAAU